GUUGAACGCUGGCGGCAUGCUUUACACAUGCAAGUCGAACGGUAGAGGGGGCAACCCCUUGAGAGUGGCGAACGGGUGAGUAAUGCAUCGGAACGUGCCCAGUCGUGGGGGAUAACGCAGCGAAAGCUGUGCUAAUACCGCAUACGAUCUCUGGAUGAAAGCGGGGGACCGAAAGGCCUCGCGCGAUUGGAGCGGCCGAUGUCAGAUUAGGUAGUUGGUGGGGUAAAGGCCUACCAAGCCAACGAUCUGUAGCUGGUCUGAGAGGACGACCAGCCACACUGGGACUGAGACACGGCCCAGACGCCUACGGGAGGCAGCAGUGGGGAAUUUUGGACAAUGGGCGCAAGCCUGAUCCAGCAAUGCCGCGUGCAGGAAGAAGGCCUUCGGGUUGUAAACUGCUUUUGUACGGAACGAAACGGUCUGGGUUAAUACCCUGGGCUAAUGACGGUACCGUAAGAAUAAGCACCGGCUAACUACGUGCCAGCCGCCGCAGUAA
rnacentral:rRNA from 1 species